AGAGUUUGAUCAUGGCUCAGAACGAACGUUGGCGGCGUGGAUUAGGCAUGCAAGUCGAACGAGACCAGCUUUGUAGCAAUACCGAGCUGGGGAAAGUGGCGAAAGGGGCAGUAAGGCGUGGCUAACCUACCCCGGGGACGGGGAAUAGCUUCUCUAACGGGAAGGUAAUACCCGGCGAUCUGGCGAGGGGGCAUCUCCUUGACAGGAAAUGAAUUUCGCCUCGGGAGGGGGUCACGUAGUAUUAGCUUGUUGGCGGGGUAACGGCCCACCAAGGCAAAGAUGCUUAGCGGGUGUGAGAGCACGACCCGCGCCACUGGCACUGAGACACUGGCCAGACUCCUACGGGAGGCUGCAGUCGAGGAUCUUCGGCAAUGGGCGCAAGCCUGACCGAGCGACGCCGCGUGUGCGAUGAAGGCCUUCGGGUUGUAAAGCACUGUCGAGGGGGAGGAAAGCCCGCAAGGGUCUGACCUAUCCCUGGAGGAAGCACGGGCUAAGUUCGUGCCAGCAGCCGCGGUAAGACGAACCGUGCGAACGUUGUUCGGAUUCACUGGGCUUAAAGGGCGCGUAGGCGGGUGACCAAGUCUGGGGUGAAAUCUUUCGGCUCAACCGGAAAAUAGCCUCGGAUACUGGUCGUCUUGAGGGAGGUAGGGGCAGGUGGAACUUCCGGUGGAGCGGUGAAAUGCGUAGAGAUCGGAAGGAACGCCGGUGGCGAAAGCGACCUGCUGGACCUCUUCUGACGCUGAGGCGCGAAAGCUAGGGGAGCAAACGGGAUUAGAUACCCCAGUAGUCC
rnacentral:rRNA from 1 species